UACGGGGGGAGCAAGCGUUGUUCGGAUUUACUGGGCGUAAAGGGCGCGUAGGCGGCCACCGCAAGUCGACUGUGAAGUCUCCGGGCUUAACCCGGAAAGGUCAGCCGAUACUGCGGGGCUAGAGUGCAGAAGGGGCAACUGGAAUUCUCGGUGUAGCGGUGAAAUGCGUAGAUAUCGAGAGGAACACCGGUGGCGAAGGCGAGUCCCUGGUCCGCAUCUGACGCUGAGGCGCGAAAGCGUGGGUAGCAAACAGG
rnacentral:rRNA from 1 species